CCUAGAGGGGGACAACAGUUGGAAACGACUGCUAAUACCGCAUACGAUCUAAUCUCGGCAUCGAGGAUAGAUGAAAGGUGGCCUCUACAUGUAAGCUAUCACUGAAGGAGGGGAUUGCGUCUGAUUAGCUAGUUGGAGGGGUAACGGCCCACCAAGGCGAUGAUCAGUAGUCGGUCUGAGAGGAUGAACGGCCACAUUGGGACUGAGACACGGCCCAG
rnacentral:rRNA from 1 species